GGAGAGGUCGCAUAGUGGCCUAGUGCGGAAGUUUUGAAAACUUCUGUCCGCCUCUGGCGGACCGUGAGUUCGAAUCUCACCCUCUCCG
rnacentral:tRNA from 1 species